UAAAAAAUUUUGGCGGUAUUUUAAGCUUAUUAGAGGAAUUUGCUCUGUGAUGGACACAACGCCUUAAUCUUACUUAAUUUAGUAAUUUAAAUCAGUUUGUAUACCACUAUAUUAAUUAUAUUGAAUAGUUAUAUUUAAAAUUUUUUUUAAAAAAUAUAUUAAGUCAAGGUGCAUCUAAUAAUUAUGAAUGAAGUGAAUUACAUUAAUUUUAAUGUAAUUUUUACAUGAAAAAAAUUAAUUAGGAUUUAAUAGUAAAAUACUAAUAUUAUGAGUAUUUGAAUCAAGCUCUAAAAUAUGCACAUAUCGCCCGUCGCUCUCAGAAGUGAGAUAAGUCGUAACAAAGUAAAAAUACUGGAAAGUGUUUUUUAAAAUGAAAUCAUUUGAUGUUUCAUUUACAAUGAAAAUUUUGUUGUUUAACCAUUUUAA
rnacentral:rRNA from 1 species